GACGAACGCUGGCGGCGUGCAUAACACAUGCAAGUCAAGGGGGUCAGUAGCAAUACUGGCAACCGGCGAACGGGUGCGUAACACGUAAGCGACCUACCUCGAUGUGGGGCAUAGCCGGCCUAACGGCCGGGUAAUUCCGCAUGUGAUUCUGGAGAGGCAUCUCCCCGGAAUGAAACCAGUAAUGGGCAUUGAGAGGGGCUUGCGGCCUAUCAGCUUGUUGGGAGGUAACGGCUCACCAAGGCUACGACGGGUAGCUGGUCUGAGAGGAUGGCCAGCCACAUUGGGACUGAGAAACGGCCCAGACUCCUACGGGAGGCAGCAGUGGGGUAAUCUUGCGCAAUGGUCUAACGACUGACGCAGCGACGCCGCGUGA
rnacentral:rRNA from 1 species